UACGUAGGGUGCAAGCGUUGUCCGGAAUUAUUGGGCGUAAAGAGCUCGUAGGCGGUGUGUCGCGUCGGCCGUGAAAACCUGCAGCUUAACUGUGGGCUUGCGGUCGAUACGGGCAUCACUGGAGUUCGGCAGGGGAGACUGGAAUUCCUGGUGUAGCGGUGAAAUGCGCAGAUAUCAGGAGGAACACCGGUGGCGAAGGCGGGUCUCUGGGCCGAUACUGACGCUGAGGAGCGAAAAGCGUGGGGAGCGAACAGG
rnacentral:rRNA from 1 species